rnacentral:rRNA from 1 species
GACGUAGGAGGCGAGCGUUAUCCGGAUUCACUUGGCGUAAAGCGCAUGUAGGCGGUUGCACAAGUCCGUUGUUAAAGCCCCUGGCUCAACUGGGGGAGGUCAAUGGAGACUGUGCGACUUGAGGGCAAUAGAGGCACGUGGAACUCCCGGUGUAGCGGUGGAAUGCGUAGAGAUCGGGAAGAACACCAGUGGCGAAGGCGACGUGCUGGGUUGCACCUGACGCUGAGAUGCGAAAGUGUGGGGAGCAAACGGG